UUUAUAAUGAGUUAAUGCUGGGAAAUAAAACACUGAUUUAAGUCAUUUUGGCUUUUAGUACUAAAGCAUUUGACAAUAAAUGACUUCUUCAGCAUGUGGUAUACCUUCUGAAAGCAAUACGCAUUUUAAUGAAUUGUAAGGAAACAUUAUUUUAUUUUUUUAUUUUUUUUUUGAGACGGACUUUCGCUUUUGUUGCCUAGGCUGGAGUGCAAUGGCACGAUCUCGGCUCACUGCAACCUCCACCUCCCAGGUUCAAGCGAUUCUCCUGCCUCAGCCUCCUGAGUUGCUGGGAUUACAGGCACGCACCACCACACCUGGCCAAUUUUGUAUUUUUAGUAGAGACGGGGUUUCUCCAUGUUGGUCAGGCUGGUCUCGAACUCCUGACCUCAGGUGAUCCACCCGCCUCAGCCUCCAAAAGUACUGGAAUUACAGGCGUGAGCCACCGUGCCUGGCCAACGUUAUUAUUAUUUUUUUUAAUCUAGAAAAAUACACUUCUAAGAAAAUUGAUUAAAACCAAAAACUUCUUCAUUAGCCACUGAAAUCACAUUUAUGUUCUCUUUGUUGCAGCUUCACUUAAAGAGAGGAAACUUCUUGGUGCUCAAAGCAAAGGAGAUGGGCCUCCCAGUUGGGACAGCUGCCAUCGCUCCCAUCAUUGCUGCUGUCAAGGACGGGAAAAGCAUCACUCAUGAAGGAAGAGAGAUUUUGGCUGAAGAGCUGUGUACUCCUCCAGAUCCUGGUGCUGCUUUUGUGGUGGUGGAAUGUCCAGAUGAAGGCUUCAUUCAACCCAUCUGUGAGAAUGCCACCUUUCAGAGGUACCAAGGAAAGGCAGAUGCCCCCGUGGCCUUGGUGGUUCACAUGGCCCCAGAAUCUGUGCUGGUGGACAGCAGGUACCAGCAGUGGAUGGAGAGGUUUGGGCCUGACACCCAGCACUUGGUCCUGAAUGAGAACUGUGCCUCAGUUCACAACCUUCGCAGCCACAAGAUUCAAACCCAGCUCAACCUCAUCCACCCGGACAUCUUCCCCCUGCUCACCAGUUUCCCCUGUAAGGUAGUGUCUCAGACCGGCCCCUUGUCGGCCCAGCUCUCGUCCCCUCUCUUUCUCUCCAUGAAUGUGUUUUGUCUCUUUCAGGAGGUCCCCACCCUCAGUGUGCCCGUGGUUCAGGGUGAAUGCCUCCUCAAGUACCAGCUCCGUCCCAGGAGGGAGUGGCAGAGGGAUGCCAUUAUUACUUGCAAUCCUGAGGAAUUCAUAGUUGAGGCGCUGCAGCUUCCCAACUUCGAGCAGAGCGUGCAGGAGUACAGGAGGAGUGCGCAGGACGGCCCAGCCCUAGCAGAGAAAAGAAGUCAGUACCCAGAAAUCAUCUUCCUUGGAACAGGGUCUGCCAUCCCGAUGAAGAUUCGAAAUGUCAGUGCCACACUUGUCAACAUAAGCCCCAACACGUCUCUGCUACUGGACUGUGGUGAGGGCACGUUUGGGCAGCUGUGCCGUCAUUACGGAGACCAGGUGGACAGAGUCCUGGGCACCCUGGCUGCUGUGUUUGUGUCCCACCUGCACGCAGAUCACCACACGGGCUUGCUAAAUAUCUUGCUGCAGAGAGAACGAGCCUUGGCAUCUUUGGGAAAGCCACUUCACCCUUUGCUGGUGAUUGCCCCCAGCCAGCUCAAAGCCUGGCUCCAGCAGUACCACAACCAGUGCCAGGAGGUCCUGCACCACAUCAGUAUGAUUCCUGCCAAAUGCCUUCAGGAAGGGGCUGAGAUCUCCAGUCUUGCAGUGGAAAGAUUGAUCAGUUCGCUGUUGGGAACAUGUGAUUUGGAAGGGGUAAGGGGCACAGCUGCAGGCAUCGUGGGGGCGAGGUGGGGAGCAGAGCUGCAGAGCCCUCCAGCCCCGCCCUUUUAGUUUCAGACCUGUCUGGUGCGGCACUGCAAGCAUGCGUUUGGCUGUGCGCUGGUGCACACCUCUGGCUGGAAAGUGGUCUAUUCCGGGGACACCAUGCCCUGCGAGGCUCUGGUCCGGAUGGGGAAAGAUGCCACCCUCCUGAUACAUGAAGCCACCCUGGAAGAUGGUUUGGAAGAGGAAGCAGUGGAAAAGACACACAGCACAACGUCCCAGGCCAUCAGCGUGGGGAUGCGGAUGAACGCAGAGUUCAUCAUGCUGAACCACUUCAGCCAGCGCUACGCCAAGGUCCCCCUCUUCAGCCCCAACUUCAACGAGAAAGUGGGAGUUGCCUUUGACCACAUGAAGGUCUGCUUUGGAGACUUUCCAACAAUGCCCAAGCUGAUUCCCCCACUGAAAGCCCUGUUUGCUGGCGACAUCGAGGAGAUGGAGGAGCGCAGGGAGAAGCGGGAGCUGCGGCAGGUGCGGGCGGCCCUCCUGUCCAGGGAGCUGGCAGGCAGCCUGGAGGAUGGGGAGCCUCAGCAGAAACAGGCCCACACAGAGGAGCCACAGGCCAAGAAGGUCAGAGCCCAGUGAAGAUCUGGGAGACCCUGAACUCUGAAGGCUGUGUGUCUUCUGCCCCACGCACGCACCCGUAUCUGCCCUCCUUGCUGGUAGAAGCUGAAGAGCACGGUCCCCCAGGAGGCAGCUCAGGAUAGGUGGUAUGGAGCUGUGCCAAGGCUUGGGCUCCCAGAUAAGCACUAGUCUAUAGAUGCCUCUUAGGACUGGUGCCUGGCACAGCCGCGGGACAGGAGGCUGCCACACGGAAGCAAGCAGAUGAACUAAUUUUAUUUCAAGGCAGUUUUUAAAAAGAAGUCAUGGAAACAGACGGCAGCACCUUUCCUCUAAUCUAGCAAAGAGAUUCCCUGCACGCCAGAGACAAGCAGAGUAACAGGAUCACUGGGUCUAAGUGUCUGAGACUCAAUGAAAAUAGUAUUUCAGCUGCAAUAAAGAUUGAGUUUGCAA
rnacentral:sRNA from 1 species